rnacentral:lncRNA from 1 species
CAGCUGAGUCCAUGAGCAAGGAGGCACUGGGAGGUUCAAGCACAGGUCAGUCCUGAUCCCAUCCACAUGACCCCCACAAAGCAGCCCCUUCACUGCAGCAUUUCCUUCUGCAGGGAGACGACCAGAGCAGAGGGCCCUGGUCCUGUCACGGGGACCCAGAGAAAGACAGUUCAGAUGGGACUUUAAGGGGAUGUCCGCAGACACAGACAGACAGACAGACACACACACACACACACACACACACACACCCCUCUCUCUCUCUCUCUCUCUCUCUCUCUCUCUCUGUCUCUUUCUGCUGUAGGUGCAUGGAGGACAACGUGACCUCCUCGAGCAGGUAACCUCCCCUCCUCCCUGGGGUUGAUCUCUCCGGGGCCAGGUUGUGACCUGCAGCCCAAGGGAAGGGGCUCUGUGCUGGGGUGUGAAGCCCCGGAUAGGAGGCCCUGGGGUGGGAGCGGGUGGCUUUGGGGAGGGCUGUGAUUCACCCAGCAGGGUGGGAACUGCCGGGUGACCCAACCCUGUGCCCCCACCCCCUGCUGCCAUGUGUGUGGGGGUCAGGACUGGGGUGUCUCUGUGCCCCCAUGUCCCCCAGGCCAGGGGCUGCCUUGUCCAUGUCCCUGCCCUUGCAGAUCCCACCCAGGGCCGUGCAAGGGACAGCAGGAGAGUCUCAGUGCCUGUCGUCAUCUGCAUCAUCCUGGGGGCCCUGCUCUGCCUGCUGCUGGCCCUCCUGGUGGGGCAAGUGCGAAGUGCCAGGGCUCAGCGCAGAGGCUCCAGGAGGUCUCUGGAGCCCUUCUCUGAGGCCGUGUACCAGGAGAUCGACUACAGCUUGACAUGGGAGAAGCAGGCGAGGUUUGGUCGCUCAGGCUCCUCUUUGGAGGGGUCCCUGACCAAGCUGCAGCCCGAGCCUGGGGACAGCGAGGAGGAGGACGGUCCUGGGUCAGCACCAGAUGUCCCCGUCCUGCCCAGAGGUGACCCAGCAGACGGCUAUGAUGAUGCCAGGGAAGUCUCUGACCCCGGGGAGGAUGUUGUUCCUGGGCAGCGAGACUGGGAAGUGCCCAGGGAAGCGGAGGAGGGAAACAGGCCUGGGGAGGCUCAGAGAGAGGGGAGUCUGCACUCCUGGGGAAGUGAUGGGGCCCCUGGAGCCGAGAGAGCCAUCCUGUCCUUGUUCCCUGUGGACACGGGGUAUGAUGAUGCUGAAGAGGAAUCUCUGAUGCAUCCCCAUGAGGACACCAAGGCUGAGAGACUGGACCCUGGUGCCCAGAGGUUCCUGAGCCCAGGGCCAGGAGAGGCCUCCCCUGCCACACGGUUGGGUGCACCCAAGACAGAAGAGAGGUCUGUGCAGCUGGGAGAGCCGUGAGUGCCAGAGACAAGGCCCCCUUCUCCCACUGGUAGUAGAAAGAGAUGGGCAUUUUGUCUAUUUUUAUUUGUCUACUUCUAUGCCAUGCAUUGGUAUUUGUUCUUAUUAAAAGCAUCUGGG